ensembl:lncRNA
GCUGGGAGGAGAGGAGAGGAGAGGAGAGGAGAGGAGAGGAGAGGAGAGGAGAGGAGAGGAGAGGAGAGGAGAGGAGAGGAGAGGAGAGGAGAGAGAGGAGAGGAGAGGAGAGGACAGGAGAGGACAGGAGAGGACAGGAGAGGGUGCAUAUAGAUAGAGACUUUCUUGUUGAUCCUGAUUAUGUUGUUAUUCUGACUCAGACUCCACUUCUUUCUAACUCUCUGUCCCUUUCUAUUCAUCCCUCUCUCUCCCCCUGUCUCCCGCAUGGCGCAGUGGUCUAAGGAACUGCAUCUCAGUGCAAGAGGCAUCUCUACAGUCCAAGGUUCAAAUCCAGGCUGUAUCACAUCCAGCUGUGAUUGGGAGUCCCAUCGGGCAGCGCACAAUUGGCCCAGCCUGGGUUUGGCUGGGGAUGGCUUUCAUUGUAAAUAAUAAUUUGUUCUUAACUGACUUGCCUAGUUAAAUACAUAAAAAUGUCUCUCUCUUAGCCACACCCAGAUGAGAAGGCCAGACAAGCUCUCUCCUAUUUCCUCCCCUCCCCCUCUCCAUAGGGACAAGUCCUGACCUCUGAAUUACCCUCUGCCAGGGACCAGUCUGUCUUAAUGUGUUAAUGGGAUUGGAUGAGUAAGCAAGAAGUGUGUCUAGCUGUUAGAGAUACUCAAUUUAACCAUUUUCACAUAAUAUGACAUCUCAAAUGUCUUUAUUCUUUUGGACCUUUCAUGAGUGUAAUGUUUACUCUUAAUUUUUUCUUGUUUAUUUCUCUUUUGUUUAUUAUCUAUUUCACUUGCUUCGGCAAUAUUAACAUAUGUUUCCCAUGCCAAUAAAGCCCUUAAAUUUAAUUGAAUUGAUACUCACAGUUUUGGGGGAUCUGGAUGGCUCCAUGAGCGAGUAGAUGAGAGGAGGAGAGGAGGAACAGAGGGAGGAGGAGGAGGGCAGGGGGGCUACUGCCCCUCUGAUACUGAGAUACACACAUCUCUUACUGUCCCAUCAACACCACACACACACACCCUCAACCCCUCAAACACACACACACACACCAGGAACCCCUGGAAUCCUCUGGUGCGCGUCAAAAACAGACUGACACACGUGUCUGUGUGUGUUGGCGUAUCUGUCGGGGGGUGUCGUCCAGCAGUCUCUCUUUUCCCUCGGGCUCCUUGUCCGCUGCCACUGCAAAGAAUAAAGGAGAGAGAGACAAAGAGCAGACCAAUCCAACAAAGAAAGGGUGAAGGAGAGAGGGGAGGAGAGAGGUGAAGGAGAGAGGGGAGGAGAGAGGUGAAGGAGAGAGGGGAGGAGAGAGUGGAGGAGAGAGGUAAAGGAGAGAGGGGAGGAGAGAGGGGAGGAGAGAGGUGAAGGAGAGAGGUGAAGGAGAGAGGGGAGGGAGAGAGGGGAGGAGAGAGGGGAGGAGAGAGGGGAGGAGAGAGGUGAAGGAGAGAGGGGAGGAGAGAGGGGAGAAGAGAGGGGAGGAGAGAGGGGAGGAGAGAGGUGAAGGAGAGAGGGGAGGAGAGAGGGGAGGAGAGGAGAGAGGUGAAGGAGAGAGGG